rnacentral:rRNA from 1 species
AUGAUGCAAUUUUUUUUUAUCAUAUCUCCUUUGUUGUCAAUCGAAUCCAGGUUGAACAAACCGGACCUUCCACUCUACUCGCGGUAUUUUUCUUAUGACAACACAAACCGCAGCUGCUCUGUCAAGGCCAUUAAGCUAGGGAAGAAAAAAGACUUCCUUUCUGAUUUUCAUGAGGUGCCUACUGCCUUCUUCAGAGGAACCUACACUGUAGGGAGUUUCACCACUGAUUGCCUCUUGAAGUGGUAUGAUGCUAAAGACAAACACAAAGUUCUUUCUUCGCUCCGACUGAUGAGCACCUGGAGGCACCCAAAUGUGGUGGUGUUGCAGAAUAUCUACAAGUUGCACCCAGAUUAUCGUCUUAUAAUAUCCACCAGCUCUUUUGAUGGUACCUUAAAUGGAUGGCUCAAGCAUGGUGAAAAGAACAAGAUUGAAGAGAACAGGAUUUUAAAUAUGGAUGGAAAAUUCACCCCUGUUUUCAGCAGAAUCACACUAGAUCUACUUGAUAUCUUGGACAAGAUGAUUAGACGUAAGAUGUGUCCGAAAGACCUUACAGUUGACAACCUAUAUCUGAAGACUGUGAAUGGUCAACCUCAACUUAAAGUAUUCUUCGAUGAUGUUGAGGAUCUCAGGGGGACCAGGGUGUACUGUGAUUUCAUUGAGAAACAUGGUCCUGACUUCAUUGGCAAAAAUUUGGCAAAAGUUGCCAAGUUUUAUCCCAUUGAGUGGGAUGAUGAAGACAAGAGCAAGUAUCUCAUUGACAUAUUCUCAUCAACUCGAGAUUGUAAUGCGGCUCUUAAUGCUUGUGGAAUAAGAUGGCCAAGAAAUGAGUCUGAAGAUGACACGUGUCAGGAGCUGAAAACACUAAAAGAAAUGAUGGAAAGAGCGAACAUAGAUAACAACAAAAGGAAGGCGGCGCUGAAACUUCAAGGAGCCGAGGGUAGAGCUACGGCCAACAAGAUUAGGGAAUACAUAUGGAACUGUGAUAUUGACUAUCCAAAUGAUCUUGUCAGGCUCGUGAGGAACUUAUGGAAGCAUUUCUCCACGUACCCUCACUACAUUAAGACGCACCUUGUGGGUAGCCAAAGUGCUGUUUUGCACAAGUUCGAGCAGUGGUGCCCUGAUGUCUGGACGUUGAUCUACAACACCGUGGGCCAACCAUACGGUGCAAAACACUGGUUGGUAAACUGCGCGUAA